UUUAGCAAUGUAAUUUAGAUUUAAUAAUUUAUAUGCGUCGUCGACGCGUCGUCUGUAUCACGUGAUUAAUUCAAACCAAUGACAGGCAGCUGGAGCUCCGCACGGAAGACCUGUCACUCACACGGCAACUCCAGCUUUAUGACAUCGUCGGCCAGCUGCGCUAAUUAAGUACUGAACUCCAUCCAGCCCCAGUUAAGCAGAGCUGAAUCAGCUGAUCAAGAUCUCCAGUGUUACAACAAUCUGCCAGAUAAACAAAGAUCCAUCCAGGCACAGGUUGCUGCAUUUUUUUGAUGUACAUACAGAUGAACUACCUGGCGAAGCAAUCCUUGGAGCUUCUGUGCACAAAACAUGAAGACAGUUCCAUCAGAAUGACAUCUUUGGUGCCUACAGCCUAAAAUGGAAAAACUAGCAAGAAAUCUGAGUUGAGAAGCAUUCAACUAAGUUGCUAGUUUAAAGGUGGUGAUCACUGUGAUUCAUCGGUUAGAAUGCAUGAGUCUGGUUUAGUGAACUUUGGUUGCUUUAUUCCACAUUGGUGAAUAAAAAUGUGAUUUGUUUAUAACACACACAAAUCCACCAAACAACGAUAGUUAGCAACACACAACUUCACUGCCAGAUGCUUCACUCAGACUGUUUUGUUCUCUCAUGUGCACAUCUUUAAACGGCAUAUGUGAUUAGCAAUCCGUUAGUGACCUCUACUGGACAGAUUUGUGUAAUGCUUUGUAACACUGAGCUUUCUAACAUCUUUAUAUUUGUAACAUCUUCUAUAUAUAUUUUUUUAUUAUUGCCUAAUAAUAAUUGUCAUAAAUUAAACCAAAGCCAAAAGUUUUCUAACUACUUGGAACAGUUGACUGAGGAAGCGAUUUUUUUGUGGGUUUUAAGGUAAGACCCACAAAAUUAUAAACAUUGUAAACGGACAAUGCAGAUAAAUUUCCAAUAUUAGAUUUAAUAAACAUUUCAUGACAUCAAGUGGUGACUUGUUUUCCACAAUUGUUCUUAUGUUUUUAGAAGGUUUCUCCAACUCUUUUAUACAUUAACAUCUAUAUUAUUACAUUUAAAAUAUUUGCCAAUCAAUUUUGUUGCUUAAAAUGUCUUAUUCAUAUGUAUUUUUUCUGCAAAUGCAAAUUAUUUGAAUAAUUGACCAAUCAUGGGAUCUAUUAUUAGUGUGAUUCACUAGAUUUGCAACAUUUGUUGUUUAAAAUGUUUUAUUUAUAAAUGUAUUGUUCUGCAAAUGCAUAUUUUUAAAUGUAAUUUACUAGUGAUGGAUCAUACUUAUAUGAAUAUUUAUCACUUGAAACAUGCAUGCAUUUAUUUUGUUUAAAAUAUUUAUCUGCAAAUGCUGAUUAUUU